rnacentral:rRNA from 1 species
AUACGGAGGAUGCGAGCGUUAUCCGGAUUUAUUGGGUUUAAAGGGUGCGCAGGCGGGCGAUUAAGUCAGCGGUGAAAGGCUCGGGCUCAACCGGAGCAGUGCCGUUGAUACUGGUUGUCUUGAAUGCGGUCAAGGCCGGCGGAAUGUGGCGUGUAGCGGUGAAAUGCAUAGAUAUGCCACAGAACACCGAUAGCGAAGGCAGCUGGCCGGGCCUGCAUUGACGCUGAGGCACGAAAGCGUGGGGAUCGAACAGGAUUAGAUACCCUGGUAGUCCACGCUGUAAACGAUGGACACUCGUUGUCGGCGACAGACAGUCGGCGGCCAAGCGAAAGUGAUAAGUGUCCCACCUGGGGAGUACGGUCGCAAGGCUGAAACUCAAAGGAAUUGGCGGGG